CAGAACCUCACUCUACAACCAGCGCGUUCCUUGCUCUAGAGUAAGAACGGAAUCUAAAAAGUCCUAACAUUCCUGUGAAAAGGACGUUGCCUAUUUACAUUGGCUGAGUACAAUCCAACCGGAGAAGCAAAGAAGGAAGCUGAACCUGCAAUAAUGGCGCCCAAGUUUGUUUGCUUGAUCUGCGUAUUUUUUGUCCUGUUGUCAUUUUCAAUUGACUCCGACGCCGCUAUCAUCAGUGGUCCAAAUUUUUGCCCCAAAAACGGGUGUGGACGAAGGAGAAGAUCAAAUACAAAGACAAAAGAGCGUUAUCUUCUCUCAGAGCGCAGGUUGUGUGACGUUGCCGAACGUAUGGGCUGCCGAACCGAACUUUGAUCGCAACCAAUACAAUUUAAAGGUGUCUACCAAAGCUUGAACCAUGGAUGUUCACAUGUUAAAGGAUGCGUUGUAAACUAAAUAAAGCUCAUUAAAAUGUUGAAUCUAUUUUCAUUGAAAUUUAGCCAUGCCAAUGAGAAUAGUUAGGUAUCUGUUUCUUCUAGAUUCACCUUAACUGAAUAUAGCUAGUGUAAGUUACCUUAAGCAUUGUAAUAAAAACCCCGUUUUAGACUUCAAGUUUA